rnacentral:rRNA from 1 species
GAUGAACGCUGGCGGCGUGCCUAAUACAUGCAAGUCGAGCGAACGGACGAGAAGCUUGCUUCUCUGAUGUUAGCGGCGGACGGGUGAGUAACACGUGGAUAACCUACCUAUAAGACUGGGAUAACUUCGGGAAACCGGAGCUAAUACCGGAUAAUAUUUUGAACCGCAUGGUUCAAAAGUGAAAGACGGUCUUGCUGUCACUUAUAGAUGGAUCCGCGCUGCAUUAGCUAGUUGGUAAGGUAACGGCUUACCAAGGCAACGAUGCAUAGCCGACCUGAGAGGGUGAUCGGCCACACUGGAGCUGAGACGCGGUCCAGGCUCCUACGGGAGGCAGCAGUAGGGAAUCUUCCGCAAUGGGCGAAAGCCUGACGGAGCAGCGCCGCGUGAGUGAUGAAGGUCUUCGGAUCGUAAAACUCUGUUAUUAGGGAAGAACAUAUGUGUAAGUAACUGUGCACAUCUUGACGGUACCUAAUCAGAAAGCCACGGCUAACUACGUG